rnacentral:tRNA from 1 species
GCUGGUAGGGCUGCGGUAGCAGGUUACUCUGAUAUAGUAAUUCUUGAGAAUAUAAUUUCUUCAUCAGUA